rnacentral:rRNA from 1 species
AAGUAAAAAGUCGUAACAAGGUUUCCGUAGGUGAACCUGCGGAAGGAUCAUUAUUGAAUACACACAGGAUUGUUGCUGGCUAGAUUCAUUUCUAGCAUCGUGCACAUCUAUCUUCCACACACACACUUGUGAACUUACUGUAGAUCGCAAGAUCUAUGUCUUUAAUUCAUCACAUAUCCAUCGUAUGUCUACAGAAUGUUACAAAUAUAAUACAACUUUCAGCAAUGGAUCUCUUGGUUCUCGCAUCGAUGAAGAACGCAGCGAAUUGCGAUACGUAAUGUGAAUUGCAGAUUUUCAGUGAAUCAUCGAAUCUUUGAACGCACCUUGCGCCCCUUGGUAUUCCGAGGGGCAUGCCUGUUUGAGUGUCAUUUAAUUAUCAACCAUUUAGUCUUUGAUUAGACUUUUUUUUGGAUUGGAGUUGGGAAUUGCUGGUCUUAACAAAAGGAUCAGCUGUCCUUAAAUGCAGUAGCAAGUGAAAGUGAUUUUACGUGGCACGGCCUUUGACGUGAUAAUGAUCGUUGUGGGCUGGAAGCGUUUAAUAAAGCUAGUAGUUUGCUUUAAUUAUAUAACGAGUGAAUUUCUAUGUGCAUACGGCUGGAAAGCAUUAGUAAUGGAAGCUUGAGCGGAAAGUAAGCUAUGUUGUAAAAGGCAUAGUAAAUGUGGAAGCUUGAGUGAAAGUGAGAAUGUGUAGUAGGGCUGGAAGGCAUAGCAUUGAAGCUAGUUAAACAAGGAAUUGAAAAAUAACCUGUGGAAUAUUUCUAUGUGCAUAGCAUAGUUAUUGAGAAACUAGUGAAAAAGUAAAUUCCGACUUGAAAGUUGACCUCAAAUCAGGUAGGACUACCCGCUGAACUUAAGCAUAUCA